UCUCUCUCUCGUGCGUGCACAGUCUCUCUCUCAGGCACAUCUGCAGCGUUUGAUUCACAGUCCAAGUACUGAGGAACUCUAAAGGACAAUUUCAAUUUCUCAAGGAGGAGCAAAAGCAUGUAAAAUAGGAUCUGAAGGGAGGCAAAAGAAGAGAUUCCUGAGUACGGUUAGAUGCCACUAAAGAUGCAAAGACUCAAAUACUAGAGGAGCUAGACAUACCAAGAGACUAAUAGGAGAAUUGAAGUUGAACCUAGAGAGAGCACAAACUAAAGAGAAGCAGGCAAAACAAGAUAAUGAACAUGUCAAGCUCAGGUUGGCAGAAAUAGAACAAGGGAUUGCAAAUGAGACAAGUUCUGCAGAAAAGCAACAGCUUGAUGUAGCAAAAUCCAGGUACAUAGCUGCAUAACAGAGUUGAAAUUUGUGAAAGAUGAGUUGGAAGCACUCUGUGGAGAGUAUGCAUAUUUGGUUACUGAAAAGGACAUGGCUGUAAAGAAAGCUGGGGAGGUUGUUUCUGCACCCAAGGCAAUUGAGAAGAUAGUGGAAAAUCUAACUCUAGAACUGAUUGCAUUGUGAAGAGAACAUUU